rnacentral:rRNA from 1 species
UACGGAGGGUGCGAGCGUUGUCCGGAAUCACUGGGCGUAAAGGGCGCGUAGGCGGCCUGAUAAGUAGGGGGGUGAAAUCCUGCGGCUUAACCGCAGGGGCUGCCUUCUAAACUGUCAGGCUCGAGCACAGUAGAGGCAGGUGGAAUUCCGGGUGUAGCGGUGGAAUGCGUAGAGAUCCGGAAGAACACCGGUGGCGAAGGCGGCCUGCUGGGCAGUAGCUG